GAUGGGGACGGAGAAGGGUGCCUCGCUCGCCGAGCCCCGCUGCCCUUGGGGACCUGGCAAAGUCGAGGUUUCCUCACAGCGUUGAGAUUGAGACUGGGGGUCGUGGUCUCAAAUAGUCAAGACCCCCUGCUGGGAGGAGCUUCUAUCCUGCUCUGUGGAAGAAAUGGGCAUGCCAGAUGCCUGGAAGAUCAGAGGCUCACAUUCCAGCACCAUUCACAAUAGCAAGGACAUGGAAUCAACCUAAGAGCCCAUCAACAGUGGAUUGGAGAGAGAAAAUGAGGUACAAAUACACCAUGGAAUACUAUGCAGCCAUAAAAAAGAAUGAAAUCAUGUCCUUUCGCAACAUGGAUGGAGGUGGAAGGCAUUAUGACCUCCAUAAAUGACCUAAUGUAAGAACCUAAAACAAAAUAUUGCAUGUUAUCACUUGUAAGUGGGGCCUAAACGUUGAAGACACAUGAUCACGAAGAUGGGAACAAUAGGCACUGGGGAUCACUAGAUGGGGAAGGAAGGGAGCAGGGGGCAUGGGCUGGAGUGCCACCUGUUGCGUCCUAUACUUAUUCCCUGGGUGAUGGGAUCAUUGGGAUCCCAAGCCUCAGGGUGAUGCAAUUUACCCAUGUAAUAAACCUGCAUGUGUACCCUUUAAUCUAUGAUAAAAGUUGAAAUUAAAACAUAAACAAAUAAAAUCCUGAGUACUGUUUCAAAAAAUAUAUUUGAGGAAAGAAGGAAGGAAAGAGGGAUGGAGAGAUGGAGGAAGACUAAAGGAAGGAUCGUGGCCCUGAGAGAAUAGAGCACAGGCCAGGGGUGAGAUACAGAGUGAGAUGGGAGCUGAAUGGGGUCUCUGAAACUAGACAUGGAAGACACCAAAAGAAACAUUCCUACUUCAUCUUUCCCUGUGCCUGGGAUAAUUUACUCCUGGAUGGUAAAGAUAUGUCUUGGUUUCAUCUGUGU
ensembl:lncRNA CYP1B1-AS1 CYP1B1 antisense RNA 1